rfam:Oryza barthii chromosome 1, whole genome shotgun sequence.
AAUAGAUGACGCCGUUGCACUUUUUCUCACAUGUUUGACCAUUCAUCUUAUUCAAAAAAUUUACGUAAUUAUAAUUUAUUUUGUUAUGAGGUGUUUUAUCACUCAUAGUACUUUAAGUGUGAUUUAUAUCUUAUAUAUUUGCAUAAAUUUUUUGAAUAAGACGAAUAGUCAAACAUGUGAGAAAAAGUCAACGGCAUCAUCUAUU